rnacentral:tRNA from 1 species
CGGCACGUGGCAGAGUGGUCGAUUGCACCUGACUGUAACCCAGGUCUCUAACAAGCGCGCUAGUUCGAAUCUAGCCGUGCCGA